rnacentral:rRNA from 1 species
CGGUAAUUCCAGCUCCAAUAGCGUAUACUAAAGUUGUUGCAGUUAAAAAGCUCGUAGUUGGAUUUCUGCGGGGACGGAGCGGCCGGACGCAACUUGCGUCUCGAGCUAGCGCUUUCCCCGCAUCCUGCCGCGAACCGUGCUACCAUUAGUUUGGUGGCGCUAGGGAUCGGCUCGAUUACUUUGAGAAAAAUAGAGUGUUCAAAGCAGGCCACACGCCUUGAAUAAGUUAGCAUGGAAUAAUGACUAAGGACUUUGGUUCUUUUCGUUGGUGUUCGGGACUGAAGUAAUGAUUGAUAGGGACAGUUGGGGCGGUCCGUAUUCCAAAGCGAGAGGUGAAAUUCUUAGACCUUCGGAAGACGAACAGCUGCGAAAGCGUUCCGCAAGGAUGUUCCCUUUGAUCAAGAACGAAAGUUGGGGGAUCGAAGACGAUCAGAUACCGUCGUAGUCUCAACUAUAAACUAUACCAGCUAGGGAUCGGCCAACGUUUAAUUAUUCGACUUGGUCGGCACCUUAUGAGACAUCAAAGCAUCUGGGUUCCGGGGGGAGUAUGGUCGCAAGGCUGAAACUUAAAGGAAUUGACGGAAGGGCACCACCAGGCGUGGAGCCUGUGGCUUAAUUUGACUCAACACGGGAAAACUUACCAGGUCCAGACAUAGGAAGGAUUGACAGAUUGAUAGCUCUUUCUUGAUUCUGUGGGUGGUGGUGCAUGGCCGUUUUUAGUCGGGAAGUGAUUUGUCUGCUUAAUUGCGUUAACGGACGAGACCCCAGCCUGCUAAAUAGCGCGGCCGAGCUUUGCUCGGUACGAGCUUCUUAGAGGGACCAUGAUGCGCGAUAGCACAAGGAAGUUUGGGGCAACAACAGGUCUGUGAUGCCCUUAGAUGUUCUGGGCCGCACACGGGCUACACUGGCGCCUGCAACGAGCAUAUCAGCUGGCCCGAGAGGGUCUUGGCUAAUCUUUGGAACCGGCGCCGUGCUUGGGAUUGACCAUUGCAAUUGUUGGUCAUGCAACGAGGAAUGCCUUGUAAACGCGAGUCAUCAGCUCGCAUUGAAUACGUCCCUGCCCUUUGUACACACCGCCCGUCGCUCCUACCGAUGAAUGUUCCGAUGAAAUUUUCGGAGAGCGCCGGAGAACGGGGCUCUGCCCUGCAGAACUGGAGGCUCAAAGUCACUUAAAUCUGAACAUUUCGAGGAAGGAGAAGUCGUAACAAGGUAGCCG